GAUCCUGGCUCAGGACGAACGCUGGCGGCGCGCCUAACACAUGCAAGUCGAACGAGAGAGGAGGAGCUUGCUUCUUCGAUCGAGUGGCGAACGGGUGAGUAACGCGUGAGGAACCCGCCUCAAAGAGGGGGACAACAGUUGGAAACGACUGCUAAUACCGCAUAAGCCCACGGGUCGGCAUCGACCAGAGGGAAAAGGAGCAAUCCGCUUUGAGAUGGCCUCGCGUCCGAUUAGCUAGUUGGUGAGG
rnacentral:rRNA from 1 species